UCGCAGGGGCCGCGGGUGGGCCGGUGGGUGCAGGCGCAGGCUCCGUGGCGCCCGGCGCGAGCGCUGCGCUGGGAUUUCGUUGAGAAGAUGGAGCAGAGAGUUGAGCGAAAGGGUCAGGAAGGCUGUGAGACAGAAACCCGGACAAAUCGCCCCGCCCGCCCCCCGCUGCUGAAAUGGUGCGGGCCGGCACUUCUGCGGGCACGCCCUUUUCCUAAACCGGGGUGAGCAACAGGAAAAAAGUAAAGCAAGUUUCAGUGAAAAUAUAUGCGACGUGAGCCUGAGCGCUACAGUAGCUUUAUUUCAAGGUGAAAACGCGCGAACAGGACACUGCUGCGGAGGAGGACAGGACGCCCGCCCCGGUCAGGGCUCGCGGAGGUGGCCCGGGCUGCGGCCGGCUGGGACCGCCGCGCGCCAGCGCCCCGCGCCCUGACCGCCGUCUGUUACAGUGUCGGGAUACCUAAACACCGCGGCAACAACAAAAGUUGUUUUUCUUCCCUAUAAUUAAAUCUAAUUUGUUAAUUGUC